rnacentral:rRNA from 1 species
CCUACGGGUGGCAGCAGUGGGGAAUAUUGGUCAAUGGCCGCAAGCCUGACCCAGCAACGCCGCGUGAAGGAAGAAGGCUUUCUGGUUUUAAACGUCUUUUUGCAGGGACGAAGAAAGUGACGGUACCUGAGGAAUAAGCCACGGCCAACUACGGGCCAGCAGCCGCGGCCAUCCGUAGGUGGCAAGCGUUAUCCGGAUUUAUUGGGUGUAAAGGGCGUGUAGGCGGGAGCGGCAGUCCGACGUGAAAACUCAGUGGUCAACCCUGAGCCUGCAUUUGAAACUGUGUUUCUUGAGUGCUGGAGAGGCAAUCGGAAUGCCGUGUGUAGCGGUGAAAUGCGUAGAUAUACGGAGGAACACCAGUGGCGAAGGCGGAUUGCUGGACAGUAACUGACGCUGAGGCGCGAAAGCGUGGGGAGCAAACAGGAUUAGAUACCCUGGUAGUC